rnacentral:rRNA from 1 species
UUGAAACUCAAAAAAUUUGGCGGUAUUUUAGUCUAUUCAGAGGAACCUGUAAUGUAAUUGAUAAUCCACGAUGAACCUCACUUAGUCUUGUAAACAGUUUGUAUACCGCUGUUAUUUGAAAAUUUUAUAAGAAUAAUAAUUUUCAAAAAUUUUUAUAAAAAAAAAUAAAUCAAGUCAAGGUGCAGCUUAUGAUUAAGUAAUAUAUGGGUUACAAUAAAUUUAUUUAUGCGGAUUUUAAAUUUAAAU